GGAGAAGAUGCACAAUGAGUUGAGCGUUUGUUCAAACUUCUGUUUCCACACUUGGACUC
ensembl:ncRNA F35H10.15 ncRNA